CAAACAUGCUUUAUUCUAUACUGAGUAGCAUUAUUAAACGGCGACAUUUUGAACAUUUUUAUAUUUAGAGUGAGAGUGGAUACACAUUACACUGGCGCCGACAUUUUGAAAAUUUGAGGAAACAAAAACAUUCUCCAACGAGUUCUUCAGCUCGGGGAAUGAGAGAAUAGAUUCACCUUUGUGUCGCUUUUCAGAUCGUAUUUUAAUUCCUUUCCGGUACUUUAGUUUCUUUGAACUUCUCUGUUACUAAGCCUAUAUUGAAUUUUUAAAAUUAAGAAAUCGGUGAUUUUACUUGCAGGCGUGACUGAUUAAUGGAAUUAUUUUACUUUUAUUUAGAAUAUGGACGGCACUCCAGUACAGCAUGUGCAUGGUUGGCCUGUUGACAUUUUUAGGAACGCAUCUUGGUCUAUUAUACAGAGUAUUGUUGUACUGCUCCAAAGUGCUUGUUGACAGACUGAAACCACUUGCUUGCGGCUCAUAAGGUUCACUUCUUGAGAGCAGGCAGCUACAAAAUGGAAGGUCAACAAAUCCAGUAUACUUGAAAAGCAAGAAAGAAACACCAGAAAAUAUAAAAAGACAGAAGAACAAGGGAACUUAAAAAAAAAAAACUUUUAAGGAUAGGAAUUCAGGAUUUAUUUAGAAACUAAAUUUAUUUUGAGAAGAGCAGUGUUUGACAAAGCUCUGUUACUUUAAGAGAUAAUGUAUUAUCACAUUGGUUUUGUUAUUGUCGAGCCCGCUUGCGGAAGCGAAGACAUAGUUGUCUAAAUGUCUAUUCGGUGUAUGUGCGUGUGUGCGUCCGUCCGUAUUUGUUUGUCCGGACCAUAAUUUGGACAUGCAUGGAGCAAUCUUGUUUAUAUAUGGUAUGAAUGUUAACCUCAGUGAGACGGAGUGUCAUGCGCAAGCCCCAGGUUCCUGUCUCAAAGGUCAAGAUCACACUUACAGGUCAAAGGUCAAAUUCAAAAAUGACUGUCCGGAGCAUUUCUUCUUGAUGCAUGGAGGGAUUUUGAUGUAACUUGGCACAAUUGUUCACUAUCAUGAGAUGGAGUGUCUUGCGCAAGAACCAGGUCCCUAGGUCUAAGGUCAAGGUCACACUUAGAGGUCAAAGGAUACAAGAAUGACAACUUUGUCUGGAGCAUUUCUUCUUCAUGCAUGGAUGGACUUUGAUGUAACUUGGCACAAAUGUUCACCACCAUGAGACGGAGUGUCAUACGGAGUGUCUUGCGCAAGAACCAGGUCCCUAGGUCUAAGGUCAAGGUCACACUUAGAGGUCAAAGGAUACAAGAAUGACAACUUUGUCUGGAGCAUUUCUUCUUCAUGCAUGGAUGGACUUUGAUGUAACUUGGCACAAAUGUUCACCACCAUGAGACGGAGUGUCAUACGGAAGAACUAGGUCUAAGGUCAAGGUCACACUUAGAGGUCAAAAGUAGGAUACAAAAAUGACUUUGUCUGGAGCAUUUCUUUUUGAUGCAUGGAGGGAUUUUGAUGUAACUUGGCACAAUUGUUCAUCAUCAUGCGACGGAGUGUUAUGCAAAAGAUCCUAGAAUUACUUCCCUUUGUUGUUACUAUAAAUAGCUUACAUCUGUAACUUUUUUAUUACUGGUCAUAGGGAAAAAUAAAGACUACUUUUCUGUAGUACAACAUGCAUGUUACAUCCAAUUUUCAGGUGUAUUUUGACCUAUCUCUGCUGGUGCGGAUUUUUGUGUGGAUUUUUUUAUAUAUUUUUUAAAAAAAAAUUUUAAAUUUUUUUUUUAAAUUUUACGUUCCUUUGUUGUUACUGUAAAUAACUUAUAUUGUAACUUUUUGCAAUCUCUUUUAUUUGGCAUAAAUGUUUGCCUCAAUGAGACAAGGAGUGUCAUGCACAACUCCCAGUCCUUUAGACAGCUGGCGGGCUUGACAUAUUGCCCGUGGGUAUCUAGUUCUCGUAUUUUUCAUGAGAUUUUAAAGAGAAUAUUCUGUUAUACCCCCAUGUAGUAAGCUUGUUUGUCUUUCAGUCAGUAGGUUUUCAUGGCUUCCAGGUGAUAACUCAUGAAAAGCUUGACCGCUUUAAAUAUUUUUUGGUACAUAAUUACAGGUCAAGUUCGACUGGGGUCAGUAGGUCAAAGGUCAAGAUAACUUGCAAACGCUUUGGCCUGGGAUCAUAGCUUUUGUAACACAGGUGUAUCAUGAUAAAAUACAGGUUGUUUGAAUUUGAGGUCAAUAGAUCAGAGGUCAAGGUCACAGUGACCUUGAACAGUUGAGUCGUUUCCGAAUGAUAACUUGAGACCUUGAGCCUAGGAUGAUAAAGUUUGGUACACAGGUGUCACAUCAUGAAAUGCAGGUCAAGGUCACAAUAAGGCAAAACAGUGAAAUGUUUUUCAGAUUAUAACUUGAGAAUGCUUGAGCCUAGGAUCAUGAAAAUUGUUAGGGAGGUUGAUUAUGACCAGCAGGUGACCCCUAAUGAUGUUGAGGUCAGUAGGUCACAGGUCAAGGUCACACUGACCCGGUUCUUUAAAUGAUGCACGGAGGGGCACAUGGGGUCUUCCUCCACCAUUAAAACUGUAAAGUCGCCAUAUGACCUAUCCUGUGUCAGUGUGAUGUUAAGUUCAACAAAAUAAAUAACGGUUCUUUAAAACGGUUUUUGGACAAUAACUUCAGGAUCCUUGGGAUGAGAAACACAAAAUUUAGUACAAGGUUGGUCUUGACCAGCAGAUUACCUGUAUUGAUUUAGAGUUCCAAAGGUCAGGAUGACCCUGAACAUUUAAACCUUUUCCAUACAACAAUUUGAGAACACUUUGGCGGAGGAUCAUGAAACUAUAGAGAUUGAAUUUGAGGUCAUUAGGUCAUAGCUCAAGAAAAUGCUGCUUUGAUAUUGGCUUAGUUCUGUGAUAAGGCCAUAUUGUAGGGUAUAAUUCGUCACUCCUGUGACAACUCUAGCGUUUAGCUCACCUGAGCACAAAGUGCUCAAGGUGAGCUUUUGUGAUUGUCCUGUGUCCGUCCGUCGUCAACAGUUUGACUGUUAACACUCUAGAGGUCACAAUUUUGACCUAAUCUUUAUGAAACUUGGUCAGAAUGUUACCCUCAAUAAAAUCUUGGACACUUUUGAUAUUGGGUUAUCUUGGAUCAAAAACUAGGUCACCAAGUCAAAUCAAAGGAAAAGCUUGUUAACACCGUAGAGGUCACAUUUAAGGCUAUAUCUUCAUGAAACUUGGUCAGAAUGUUAAUCUUUAUAAUCUCAAGGUCCAGUUUGAAUCUGGGUUAUGUAGGGUCAAAAACUAGGUCACUAGGUCAGAUCAAAGGAAAAGCUAGUUUACACUCUAGAAGCCAAAUUUAUGACCAUAUCUUAAUCUUAAUGAAACUUUGUCAGAAUUUUAAUCUUGAUGAUCUAUAGGCCAAGUUAAAUCUAGUUCAGGUGGGAUUAAAAAUUAGGUCACUAGGUCAAAUCAAAGGAAAAGCUCGUUAACACUCCAGAGGCCACAUUUAUGACUGCAUCUUCAUGAAACUUCAUCAAAAUGUCUUGAUGAGGGUCAUGUGGGGUCAAAACUAGGUCACCAAGUCAAAUCAAAGGAAAAGCUAGUUAACUCUUUAGAGGCUACAUUUAUGAUCAUAUCUUGAUGUAACUUGGUCAGAAUGUUGAUCUUGAUGAUCUUUAUGUCAAUAUGUGAAGUGAGCGAUACAGGGCCAUCAUGGCCCCUCUUGUUUAUUUGUUCUUGUUGUAAGAGAAAUUGUACAUUUUAGAAUACAGAUUACAAGUCACAUUUUCUUUAUUUUGACAAUACUUAUUUCAAAGCCUGACAAAAGCAUCCAGUACUGUUAUUAAAAGUUGUUAUUCACAGUUCAGCUAUAUUUUAUGUAUGGAUAAAACAAGUUGUGUGAUCUGUGAUCAUUAUAAAUGUGUAUACAGAUAAAACUUAAACAUGUGAACAGUUUAUUCAAUAAAUAAAGUGUAAUGCUA